AUCCGAGUAACGAGUUCCAAAUUGGACGAAACGCGCGUCCUGGAU
rnacentral:hammerhead_ribozyme from 1 species